GUUGGGGUUUUUUACCUUGUUUUCUUCUCAGUGGAAGUCUUCGCAGUGAACUGUUAUCCAAAUGCUGUCUUUUGAUGAUAUUUAAAAAUCACUUUUUAAAUGGAGGGGCAGAAGAUUAAAUUAGGGGCCUUCAUUAACACUGCAUUAAAACAGUUGUUGGAAAGGAACUUACUCUGUGUAUUAAUUAAGCAAGAUCUAUGCUAGGCCAAAUGAACAGUUGAAUGUGAUCUGUCCAAAGGACUGUAUAACCAGAAUAAAAUAGUCUAACACUAUGUAAUUCUGAUCAUACAGGCUUAUUUUGACAAUAGAAUGUAUCAGCAUUUUAUUUUUAUCACUUAGGGAAGUGGCUGUGCCUCUUCAAAUCUGUCUUUACUAGGCAACCUUGGAGCUGGAAGAGUUCCUGGUUUGGCUGUGGUGCCUGAGGACUGUAGCAUGGAAGAGACAUCGGUAGCAUCUGGUGCCUUUGUUGACACACCAAUCUUGAUUACUUCUCCUGUGCUCAGUCUCCCGGCUCUAUUCAUGCAGGCACAGUUAACGUGGACUUAGCACUAGGAUGGAAGAGAGAGGCAAGAAAUGUGUGGGGACAAAAAAAAUCUUUUAUCAACUUACUCGUUAGUGAUAUAUGAUUAUUGAUAAACUAGGAUUCUUACAGUAUGUAACUCAUAUUCUAAAGUGGUAUUUUACAUAGUGACUACCUAAGAUUUUACUUUGAGACCUUUAUGCCAUUGAUUAUAUCAAAACUUUGUCAACUGCAUAACAUAAUUGUGGCCAAGCAGGUUUAAAUUAAUUUACGUGUUAUGCACAGUACUUCCCAUUUUGUAGUGCUUAAAGGAGUUUGUAACAAUUCUCUCAAACUGUGUAAAGCAAAUACUAAACUAUGUAAUUGCUCCAUUUCAGUGGUCACUUCAAAGCUUGUAUUUCCUGCUCUGAAAAUGGCAUUUAACAGUAUUGAGACAGAGUCACAUUUCCCUUGUGGAUCAAUGGAAACCCACACAGUAGUAGAUUGAAGGUUGCUGUAGUAGAAAGUAGUAAUUACAAGCGGAUCUAUAGAUGUUGGGCCAAUUGUGCUGCAUGUUACUAAUUCUCUUUGCAAAAAUUAUAAAAUUAAUUCCUGGGUUUUGAACAUAUUUCAUAUUGUAACCUCUCUUGUUUCCAGGCACUUAAUCUGUAAAUAACCUCAUCUGUACAGGAUGGAUCUGCAGGGAGCAACACUGAAAACAUGUAAAAGCAUGUCUGAAAUUCUAGUCUCAGUUAAAUCAUAGUCUUUUUGACCAUGCUGUAAGCAAAAUCCAACAGAAGGAGCAGUAAGUGUACACAGAAGAAGAGGAGGUUUGGGGGAAGAAGGAUCUGGGAAGAAUGAAGCACAAUUUUGAGCCUGAGUGUGUCCAAGGGGAUACCUGAGAAGACCUGAGCUGAAAGAAUUGGUCUUUGGAAAGGGAAUUGCUAUGAUCAUGGUGUGUUGGGGAAAGAUGCCUUUUUUGUGCAAGCCUAACCUUUCCUCUAAGGCAGUCUCAGAGGAGGGAAUAGGGCUAUACAGCAUUUACUUAUAAUGCUCUGAUGUUAAUUUCUGCAAGUGUUUGUCAGGGAUGCUUUUGGGUGAGAGGCUGGCAAAAUGCUGAGAUACUGAAUGCUGUAGGGAGGGAACAUUUCUAGUCUGAUGAAUGGAGAGAGUCCUGGCUGGGGACUGAAGAGAGAAUGGCGCGGUGCCGUGAGGUACAUUCCCUGGCUCACUGCGAAUUCUGCAGUUGUGAUGUUGUGACUACAGGCUGCAUUGACUCCCCUUAGCUACUGGAGGAGGUUCUGAGGCUGAAACCUUCAUCACCACGGCCUGGCGGGCUCUUCCCUGUUUUAUUGGUGUCGUCUCUGGAAUAUCUUAUCCCUUUCCCUCUCCCCUCAUAUUUUUGACCCUUUGGUCUCUCUGACCCAUUAGGUUAGGUGACAAAAGGCGCAUCUCCACACAUGCAGGUGGGGCAACCUGAAAAACUCCCUGCCCUGACUUCUCCCAGGGGUGUCUCCAGGACGUCUCAAAGACUGAGGGGGUCCCUGCCCAGGGUAGGAGAUGCAUCGUGGGAUGCAGGGGAUGAGUAUCUUGGGAUCACACAAAACUUAUUGCAGGAGGUUUUGGGGAAGAACCAAAGGUGGGGACAGGGAGGAAUCAAGGUGGCCUGGGGAGGAACAAGCAUGGGAAAAUAGAGGUAUAAGGGUAUAAAAGGGACAGAUCAUGGGUAAGCAGGGGCUGGCCAGGACACUUGUCUGCUCCUGACCAACAUGGUCUCAACUCCUUGUUAAACUCUUUUUUUCCUGGGUGAGAGACUCCCUAUCUGUGUGUGCCUGUGGGUAUGGGGUGUGAGUGCCAGCUGCAUUGGGACUGGGGGUCACAGGCAUCUGGGCAUCCAUGGUACCAGCAACUGGAGCCAGUCUGGGUGUGUAUGUUGGCAUGUGAUGGGAAGCAAGUAUUGAGCUGGUCUAGCUAGCAGGAAGGGUAAGUGCUGGGGGAGCUGGGUAUGGAAGUGGCCAUAAGUCUGGGCUGGGUGUGCAUGUGUCCUGUGCAUUGGGAACAUGGAGGUGCUGGUGAUCUGAGAGGUCCUGGCCAACUGGGGUCUGCUGGGAGACCUCUGUAUGUGCAUGAGCAUAGGAGGCAACUGGAGGUGAGAGGAUCCAGUGCCAGCUGCUGGGCAGGCUACCAGAGGGAUCCACAUUGUAUUCAUACAUAUAUAUGUAUGUAUGUAUGUAUGUAUGUAUAAGGGAGGUGAUUCUCCCUUUCUACUCCACUCUGGUGAGACCCCACUUGGAAUACUGCAUCCGGCUCUGGGGUCCCCAGUACAAGAAAGACAUGGAGCUGUUGGAGCGAGUCCAGAGGAGGGACACAAAGAUGAUCAGAGGGCUGGAGCACCUCUCUUAUGAGGACAGGCUGAGAGAGUUGGGGUUGUUCAGCCUGGAGAAGAGAAGGCUCCAGGGAGACCUUAGGGCAGCCUUCCAGUACCUAGAGGGGACCUACAGGAAAGCUGGAGACAGGCUGUUUACAAGGGCAUGGAGAGAUGGUACAAGGUGUAAUGGCUUUAAACUAAAAGAUGGCAGAUUUAGAUUAGAUAUAAGGAAGACAUUUUUUACAAUGAGGGUGGUAAAACACUGGAACGGGUUGCCCAGAGAGGUGGUAGAUGCCCCAUCCCUGGAAACAUGCAAGGCCAGGUUGGACAGGGCUCUGAGCAAUCUGAUCUAGUCAAAGAUGUCCCUGCUUAUUGCAGGGGGGGUUGGACUAGAUGACCUUUAAAGGUCCCUUCCAACCCAAACUAUUCUAUGUUUCUAUAAUUCUAUGAUUCUAUGAUACAUCUAUUUUUGUACCACUAAUAGAGGAACAAGGCUGUUGGUGCUGUGUAAAUGCUGAGUGUUUCUGUAUUGAUCUGUGUGGCCAGCUCUGUGUGUAUAUAUAUAUAUAUAUGUACAUGGCAUAUACCUGUGUUUGUGUGUGCCUACUGGGAAUAUAUUCUCAGCUGUGCUAUGGAUUGGACCUGGGGGAGUGGAGCUGCAGCAGCCUCACCUCUCUCGGGCUGCUGGAUCCAGCAAUCCCGAACUAAACCCCGCUGACCCUGCUGGAGGGUACCAGCAGGGCGCUGCAGCUCCUCACCUUUGGAUACUGGGCCAAAAUGCCUGUGUCUCAGUUGUGCAGCAGGCAGGCUCCAAAACAAAAUCUGUGUCCCUUGCUCACCCAGAGCAGUGGGCACAGAGAAAAUAUCCCUCCUGUUGCUUUACGUGUCCAAAUCCUUCAUGUUUCCCUGUUUCCCUACUCACUGAUCCGUGCCCUUGCAAUGCAUGUGAGCAGAAAAUAUCUAUGAUGAGUGUUUUCCUUUACACUUCUGAAAUACAAGAAUUACCAAUUGUAUCAAUAAUUAAAAAUAAUCUACUUUUCAGCUGGAGUGAAUUUUUUAAAUGGUAAAAUAGUCUAGAAAUACGGCUCUGGAUGGAAAUCCUGACCCCUCAUUGUUCCUCAUCUCAAAAGCCUUUCUCAUAUAAACCUACAACAAACUGCACAAGCGCCAGCAAUCUGUCUCUGGCAAUAAAUGAAAUUCAGGUGACAAAAUCAAAUAUGAUUUGUUUCUUCAGAAUCAUAAGACGAUAUGAUGGGUGCAGCAUGGUGGAGCCACUGUAACACAAUACAAACUUAAGCAAAAGGCAAUGUGGGGACAAAAGAUGGCUUUGUUCGAGUCAUGAAAAAUAAAUACCAAUAAGCUUGCUUUUACCAGGUCUGAUCACAUUUUAGAUUUCCAGCUGAAUUGCUAUAUACACAUUGCUACCAAUGCUGAUCCCAGACAUUAACCCAAUGUAGCUAAAGUGGAAUCUGGCUGUGGGACAGAAUGGGCUGAAUUUGGACAUGGAGAUUGUAAAUCACCUCUCCCCAUUCCCACCCCCUGCCUUUAAUUAAUUGUUGCCCUUGUUUAUGCAGACAGGCCUCUUUCCCAAAGAAGCGGCAAAGUGACAGUUUGCAGGGACAUCAGUCUCGUGCUCUUUGAACAUUUAUGCUUUUCUUACAUAGCCUUAUGUCUGUAGUCUGAUGACUUAGUUUGACUGGCCAGAGGUGUAAGUAGGACUACACGUGUGUGUGAGGCCGUGCACAGCUGGGGCCCUGCCAAUUAAAUAGCCAGGCAAAGGACCCUCCCUCACUGAAAUGUGGGAGGUGGCCAGGUGAGCUUACGGCCGAACCUCUCAGCGUGGUGCAGAGCAUGGAGUGAUGGGGAGGAAGAGGAGCAGAGGCAGAGCUCCCUCCCUGAAUGCAAGUGUCAUGUGUCAUGCGGUGGCUCCUGCACACUGCGACUCAAAACCCUCAACUAUGGGGAGUUGCUCCCCUGGACAAAGUGUCAGCCCUAAAACCUUCCCAGGGCAGCGAUACGCAGGGGCUAGAUGGAUGCGUACCCCCAUCCGGCUGCACCAUGCUGCUUCCUGGGGUAUGCCACCGUCCCUGGUGUCACCCUCGUCACCUCGGCCACCCCUGCUCAGGACAAUCGAUUUUUUGGUCCCUACUCAGAACAAAUCCAGUGGAUUCAGCCCCUCACAGGGAGGAGGUACAGCUAACAGCAGGCUGCUCUCACCAGAGCAAUUAACUAAAAUUAAUUAAAUUGAUACAGAGCAAUUAAAGUUGCCACCUUCCUGAAGCCUUCUGUUAUGUUACCUGUCCGUGGCUGGGAUGUCCCUUACUUCCUUUGGGAAAAUAGUGUCUGGUAGCGCAUUGCCCCUGCCAGAGGGAUUCGAACUGAUGUGCUCCUUAGGGGAGAGGACGGGAAAGAGGGAGGAGGCCAGUGCUUAGGUGAAAUCACUCUGGUAGGCUACAUAAAGACCCUAAAGCAUCCAGUCCUGAAGCAAUGUGAAUUUCCUGCAGUGCUUCUGACAGUGAAAAGGUUGUGAAAAACUCCCAGCUGUUAUUCCUCAUUAUUUUUGCUGUCAUUAUGAAUACCUGUGCAAUUUAAGGUAGUCAGGCUUUGCUCCUCCAAAGUGCUCUGAUACUCAAGAUGGAUUGAGAGCAGCCCUGUGAAGAAGGACUUGGGGAUAUUGGUGGAUGAAAAAUUGGACGUGAGCCGGCAGUGUGCGCUUGCAGCCCAGAAAGCCAACUGUGUCCUGGGCUGCAUCAAAAGAGGUGUGACCAGCAGGUCGAGGGAGGUGAUCCUGCCCCUCUACUCCGCUCCUGUGAGACCCCACCUGGAGUACUGCGUCCAGCUCUGGGGAUGUGCUUGUACUGUCAGUACAAGAAAGACAUGGAGCUGUUGGAGCGAGUCCAGAGGAGGGCCACGAAGAUGAUCGGAGGGCUGGAGCACCUCUCCUGUGAGGACAGGCUGAGAGAGUUGGGAUUGUUCAGCCUGGAGGAGAGAAAGCUCUGGGGAGACCUUAUUGCAGCCUUCCAGUACCUAAAAGGGGCCUACAGGAAAGCUGGAGAGGGACUGUUUACAAGGGCAUGGAGUGAUAGGGCAAGGGGUAAUGGCUUUAAACUGAAGGACGGUAGAUUUA